CCGGCGAGGGGAGUGAAAAAGAACCUGAAACCGUGUACGUACAAGCAGUGGGAGCACCCUUCGGGGUGUGACUGCGUACCUUUUGUAUAAUGGGUCAGCGACUUAUAUUCUGUAGCAAGGUUAACCGAAUAGGGGAGCCGAAGGGAAACCGAGUCUUAACUGGGCGUUAAGUUGCAGGGUAUAGACCCGAAACCCGGUGAUCUAGCCAUGGGCAGGUUGAAGGUUGGGUAACACUAACUGGAGGACCGAACCGACUAAUGUUGAAAAAUUAGCGGAUGACCUGUGGCUGGGGGUGAAAGGCCAAUCAAACCGGGAGAUAGCUGGUUCUCCCCGAAAGCUAUUUAGGUAGCGCCUCGUGAACUCAUCUUCGGGGGUAGAGCACUGUUUCGGCUAGGGGGUCAUCCCGACUUACCAACCCGAUGCAAACUGCGAAUACCGAAGAAUGUUAUCACGGGAGACACACGGCGGGUGCUAACGUCCGUCGUGAAGAGGGAAACAACCCAGACCGCCAGCUAAGGUCCCAAAGUCAUGGUUAAGUGGGAAACGAUGUGGGAAGGCCCAGACAGCCAGGAUGUUGGCUUAGAAGCAGCCAUCAUUUAAAGAAAGCGUAAUAGCUCACUGGUCGAGUCGGCCUGCGCGGAAGAUGUAACGGGGCUAAACCAUGCACCGAAGCUGCGGCAGCGACGCUUAUGCGUUGUUGGGUAGGGGAGCGUUCUGUAAGCCGUCGAAGGUGUGCUGUGAGGCAUGCUGGAGGUAUCAGAAGUGCGAAUGCUGACAUAAGUAACGAUAAAGCGGGUGAAAAGCCCGCUCGCCGGAAGACCAAGGGUUCCUGUCCAACGUUAAUCGGGGCAGGGUGAGUCGACCCCUAAGGCGAGGCCGAAAGGCGUAGUCGAUGGGAAACAGGUUAAUAUUCCUGUACUUGGUGUUACUGCGAAGGGGGGACGGAGAAGGCUAUGUUAGCCGGGCGACGGUUGUCCCGGUUUAAGCAUGUAGGCGGAGGUUCCAGGUAAAUCCGGUACCUUUUAACGCUGAGGUGUGAUGACGAGGCACUACGGUGCUGAAGUAACAAAUGCCCUGCUUCCAGGAAAAGCCUCUAAGCAUCAGGUAACACGAAAUCGUACCCCAAACCGACACAGGUGGUCAGGUAGAGAAUACCAAGGCGCUUGAGAGAACUCGGGUGAAGGAACUAGGCAAAAUGGUGCCGUAACUUCGGGAGAAGGCACGCUGACAUGUAGGUGAAGCCCCUGCGGGUGGAGCUGAAGUCAGUCGAAGAUACCAGCUGGCUGCAACUGUUUAUUAAAAACACAGCACUGUGCAAACACGAAAGUGGACGUAUACGGUGUGACGCCUGCCCGGUGCCGGAAGGUUAAUUGAUGGGGUUAUCCUCAGGGAGAAGCUCUUGAUCGAAGCCCCGGUAAACGGCGGCCGUAACUAUAACGGUCCUAAGGUAGCGAAAUUCCUUGUCGGGUAAGUUCCGACCUGCACGAAUGGCGUA
rnacentral:rRNA from 1 species